GACGAACGCUGGCGGCGUGCUUAACACAUGCAAGUCGAACGGAAAGGCCCCUUCGGGGGUACUCGAGUGGCGAACGGGUGCGUAACACGUGAGUAACCUGCCCUUGACUUCGGGAUAACUUCAGGAAACUGGGGCUAAUACCGGAUAGGAAUCCUUGCUGCAUGGUGGGGGUUGGAAAGCUUCGGCGGUUUUGGAUGGACUCGCGGCUUAUCAGCUUGUUGGUGGGGUAGUGGCUUACCAAGGCUUUGACGGGUAGCCGGCCUGAGAGGGCGACCGGCCACAUUGGGACUGAGAUACGGCCCAGACUCCUACGGGAGGCAGCAGUGGGGAAUAUUGCACAAUGGGCGGAAGCCUGAUGCAGCAACGCCGCGUGCGGGAUGACGGCCUUCGGGUUGUAAACCGCUUUCAGCAGGGGCGAAGCUUGUGGUGACGGUACCUGCAGAAGAAGCACCGGCUAACUACGUG
rnacentral:rRNA from 1 species